GACGAACGCUGGCGGCGUGCCUAACACAUGCAAGUGGAGCGACGAACCAGGCUUCGGCCUGGGGCAAAGCCGCGAACGGGUGAGUAACACGUGGGUAACCUGCCCUGAUGAUUGGGACAACCCGAGGAAACUCGGGCUAAUACCGAAUGUGCCCUCCGGCCUCAAGGCGCUGGGGAAAGGAAGCUUCGGCCUCCGCAUCGGGAUGGGCCCGCGG
rnacentral:rRNA from 1 species